rnacentral:rRNA from 1 species
CUACGGGAGGCUGCAGUGGGGAAUAUUGCACAAUGGGCGCAAGCCUGAUGCAGCCAUGCCGCGUGUAUGAAGAAGGCCUUCGGGUUGUAAAGUACUUUCAGCGGGGAGGAAGGGAGUAAAGUUAAUACCUUUGCUCAUUGACGUUACCCGCAGAAGAAGCACCGGCUAACUCCGUGCCAGCAGCCGCGGUAAUACGGAGGGUGCAAGCGUUAAUCGGAAUUACUGGGCGUAAAGCGCACGCAGGCGGUUUGUUAAGUCAGAUGUGAAAUCCCCGGGCUCAACCUGGGAACUGCAUCUGAUACUGGCAAGCUCGAGUCUCGUAGAGGGGGGUAGAAUUCCAGGUGUAGCGGUGAAACGCGUAGAGAUCUGGAGGAAUACCGGUGGCGAAGGCGGCCCCCUGGACGAAGACUGACGCUCAGGUGCGAAAGCGUGGGGAGCAAACAGGAUUAGAUACCCUAGUAGUC